CCAGAGAUUGCACAACAGAUGUUACACAUUAUGAAUGACCAAUCCACUAAGCAAGAAUGUACUCAUGAAAAUUAACAGUUCAUACCAAGCAAGUGUUUCACUCAAUCACUCAAGUGUUUAAGGUGACACUCCAACUCUCUAUUGUUCACAAGUCACAUGAAACAAAAUUGCCAUUCAUCUCAAACAAUCAACAUCUUUACAUGCAAAUGCCAUCAAAAGGACUUUUUCAAGGCUUGUAGUGAGGUUGGGCUAACAAGAAGAAUUGGUUUUUCCGGAAUGCAAAAUCCUUGAGUCAAGAGAGCUAUCAAAAUAUUCAACAUUUAAGCACAACUCUCUUCCUCACCAAUUUCUCUUAUUCCCAACUUUUUCCCUUUUCUUUUUCUUUUGCAUUGAGCUCUUCUUCAUGCUAUUCUUCUCUUCUUUUCUUUUUCUCAUGAAUUUUUCUUUUCACACAUUUGAGCUCAAUGCUUUUCAUUUGCCUUUCAUUUUUCCCCCAUACAACCCCAAACUUGAACCUUUUCAUCAUAUACAAUUAAGCUCAUCCCAACUCAAGGUAAGAAUUUUAAGACAAGGGUUCACAUUUUGUUUAGGCUAAGGUUCAAAAAGGGUAUAAUAUUUUCAAGCACUUUGGGUG
rnacentral:lncRNA from 1 species